AGAGUUUGAUCCUGGCUCAGGAUGAACGCUAGCGGCAGGCUUAACACAUGCAAGUCGAGGGGCAGCAUAAUGGAUAGCAAUAUCUAUGGUGGCGACCGGCGCACGGGUGCGUAACGCGUAUGCAACCUACCUUUAACAGGGGGAUAACACUGAGAAAUUGGUACUAAUACCCCAUAACAUCAUGAGAGGCAUCUUUUAUGGUUGAAAAUUCCGAUGGUUAGAGAUGGGCAUGCGUUGUAUUAGCUAGUUGGUGGGGUAACGGCUCACCAAGGCGACGAUACAUAGGGGGACUGAGAGGUUAACCCCCCACACUGGUACUGAGACACGGCCCAGACUCCUACGGGAGGCAGCAGUGAGGAAUAUUGGUCAAUGGACGCAAGUCUGAACCAGCCAUGCCGCGUGCAGGAUGACGGCUCUAUGAGUUGUAAACUGCUUUUGUACUAGGGUAAACUCACCUACGUGUAGGUGACUGAAAGUAUAGUACGAAUAAGGAUCGGCUAACUCCGUGCCAGCAGCCGCGGUAAUACGGAGGAUUCAAGCGUUAUCCGGAUUUAUUGGGUUUAAAGGGUGCGUAGGCGGUUUGAUAAGUUAGAGGUGAAAUGUUAGGGCUCAACCCUGAAACUGCCUCUAAUACUGUUGGACUAGAGAGUAGUUGCGGUAGGCGGAAUGUAUGGUGUAGCGGUGAAAUGCUUAGAGAUCAUACAGAACACCGAUUGCGAAGGCAGCUUACCAAACUAUAUCUGACGUUGAGGCACGAAAGCGUGGGGAGCAAACAGGAUUAGAUACCCUGGUAGUCCACGCAGUAAACGAUGAUAACUCGUUGUCGGCGAUACACAGUCGGUGACUAAGCGAAAGCGAUAAGUUAUCCACCUGGGGAGUACGUUCGCAAGAAUGAAACUCAAAGGAAUUGACGGGGGCCCGCACAAGCGG
rnacentral:rRNA from 1 species